ACAGUCAGAUAAUUUAUCUGAUAGAAGCUCUUGAGGACAAAGGAAUUUCCUCAAAUAAUAACAUCCACAGAAACCUCUGUCCUUGAACGAGAAGUUUCCAGCUGCAGCCUACCUUGCCAAUUCCCUAGACCAAUGCCAAGGGGUCUCCUGCAUAGGAUGGAGGUUGACAGCUUCUGCCACAGCUGGGCAGAGGGAACACAGGCAGGAUAAACACACAGGCAACAAGCAAAACCGGGGCCAAGAGUCAUCUGGGCUGGAGCAUCUCCAAUCCUAUGCACAAUUUGUUCACCCCUUCAGCUGCCCAUGGAGGAGCCUCCCAGUUCCUCGCUGUUGGCUCCACUGAAGGGCACCUGAUACACAGAAGUUUUCACAAGGAUCAGGAUUCAUGACGACUCCUGGAUCUGGGGAGUUCUGUGGUGCCCCAAAUGUGUCCCAGGCUUUUCACCUGGGUUUGGAGUUCUCUUCAGAUCUCACACUGGACCUCGCUCUGCCCUAAUUCACUCUGCCACACCAGUCUGCAACAUGUUGAAUUCUGUCUUGAUACAAUGGUUAAUUACUGAUGGCUGCUCACAGGCUUCACAGUGGUUUUAAAAUCUGAUCCCUACCCUCCAGCCUCCUACAGGCUCUGUGUUUCACAGGGGCAGAGGUGUGCUCCAAUAGCAGAGAAGGGAAGAAGUACUGCAGCAUCAGAGGGACUCCCUCUCCUUUCUGCUGUGCUGGAUCUGGCUGGAACUGUGGCUGAAGCUGGUGGAAAAGGGCUGCAAGGGCGGCUCCAUCCUAUAGUUUGCAUCACCACAGGCAUCUGGCUGUUGAGCUCUGCUUCUUACCUGCUUUACAGUGUGGCAGGGGCUGGGCUGGCACCCGGACAGACCUGGUGGCUGGACCUACCUGUCCCCGUUGACCCAGCAGCUUGAGAGUCACUGCCCACUAUCAAAUGCUCCCAAGGGUGCAUCUGCUCUUGGGAUCAACAGCAUGAGCAACAAGGGCUGGUAAAUCUUCGUGAAGCCUGUUUGCAGAGCCAUGGCCAAGCCUUGCUGGGUGCUGGGUCACAAGCUCUCCCUUUGUCUGGCAUUGGGCCAUGGGCCCAUAGAUGCCUAGCUUUAGAAAAUAUCCCCUUCAAGGGUAUGAGAUGGUUGAUGCAGGCAGGGGUGGGUUUGGCCAAAGCAUUUUCCAAAGGAAUUUGACCUUCACUUCAAUCAGAGCAAAUCUUUCCCAAAUCAAAUGACUUUUGUGGUAUUCCUGAAUCACUUUAACAGGGUUUGUUUGAGCAGAGAAUCAGAUACAUUAGGCUUUGCUCUACAGGACAUGGUUUUAUGUGACCACUGGUAAUUACUCCUCAUCCCCCACUUUGGACCCCAGGCUAGAGACUAUGUGCAUCUCCAGACCCUGAAAUAGUUCUGCACUAUGCCUGGUUGCCAGACACAGAACUCCUGUACUGGGGUAUGUGCACAAAUCCUCUGACCCACAUGGAGGUAGCAGAUGAGCAGAGGCUGAGCAGCCCAACAGCCCUGUCCCACACAAAAUCCAGUCUGAAGUGAUAGACUGGAACUUUCUGAUUGUGCCUGUACUGUGUAUGGGGAAAGUAUGCUCAAGGAUGCUUGAGCUGACCUGACUGCCAGGUGCAGCUGGCUGUGACCCUGUGCUGUGGCCAGGACAUGGUCUGUUCAUGCUGAUGACUCCAGCACAAUAAAUCCAGUGGUUUUGCCCAUGUUUUUAUCAGCAUAAGCAAUCUCUAUUGAAAUCUGCAUCUAGAGAAGAAGCAUGCAGUAAAACCAGCACUGUGUGCUGGUGUACAUCUUAACAUAUUUAAUUUAUGGUCCAUUCAGAAACUAUUUUGUGUGUCCAUUGUAAAGUCUGAAGGACAGCUUCUGGACAAACGUACCCUUCUGCCUCGCUUUACAAAUGGAUCAUCAAAGACACAUGGGAGAACUGGAGCUCCUGGUCCUUAGUUCCUUCUCACUUUCAUUUGGAAAAUGAGGAUGGAUGUCAGAGCACCUAGAUGGCAAUGAGAGCCAAGAUUCCCCUCCAGCCUGGACCUGGUGCUGUGUGGCCAUUCAUUGGCAUGGGAUGAUGCCCAAUAGAAAGGACUGGAGAGAUCCUUAUGCUGGGACAAACAGCACAGCCUGGCAAGACUACUCUUUGUGUAAAAGCUUCAGAGCUCCAACAAAGCUACCAGCUUGUAAGGAGACACACCAGCCUCCCCAGACCAGGGCAAGUGAAGGAUGCUCUGAAAUGUGCAAACAUAUGGAAGGUUCCAACAAGCCAGGGGCUGCUACAUCAGCAGCUGAGACUAAUUUACUGAGUUGGAAAAAAUCCUGCAUCCUUCUACCACAAGGCACCUAUGGCUAACAGCAGUUAGCUGCUUCUUUAAUGGUGUCUUCAGCCAGCUUCCAAAACCUGUCCUGAUCCCAGGUGAGAGCCAGGAUCACAGACAACAGAGCACAGAGAAACCUUGUGUCACAGGGUGGGAGAUCAGUCAGAAGGGACACCACUCAUUCUGCCUGCCCUUGCAGAAACCCAGCCUGCCUUGCAGGCAUCUCUGGAGCAUCCCUCUCUGUAAGGGAAAGAGACUAGUCUGAAAACACUUGGCAUUUCUUCAGCCUCGAGGGACUCUGUCCUUUCUGCUGCCAAAGCUGUUCCUGCAGCUGCCAGGGCCUGUCCCUGUGGUGGCAGCAUACUCAGCACUGUGCUUGUGGAUGCCUGAGGGUUGCCCAGACCUGCGUGUGCCAGCUGGGCACAUGCACCCGCCUGGCCAAAGUGCUGCAGCCCCGGGGUUUGCCCGGGCAAUCCAUACUGCCGCUGCAUCUUAAGCAGGGAUUGAAAGUCUCUGGGGCUCCUGGCCAGGAUAUGCAGCGCCUUUGGCACUGUCUGCAGGCAUGGCACAGAGCUGCAGUGCCUCUCAACCUAGCACUCCUGGGGGGAGGCUGCACCUUCUGCUGCAAAAUCUGAGUUUGAAAAAAUCAGCGACAUUUGUGAGUGGCAUGUACUAUUUGAGGUUCCCUGCCCCUGGUGGCAGCUCAUCUCUUGCUGCUCCUCACAGAGCUGCAUGCAGGGACUGCCAGAGCAGAGUCACUGCACCAGUGAAACAAGGAACAUGAUACAGGUCACAACCACCCACCUGGGAAUGGCUGAUGAUGGCUGUGAGUAACCACCUUUGUUUGAAUUUUGCUUUUCCUGAUUCCAGGUAACAUUGGUUUCAAGGGAAGUACAUAACAGUAAUGAGUUUCUCUUUCAGGGUGGGGGACACCUGUAAAUCAGGGCCACAGUGCAUGCUUUGUGUAUGUGGUGGGCAGUAGUGCCUACACAGCACAUUCCAGGUAAGGAUGCAGGAAAGGUUGCAGGUAAGGAUGCAUGCUGGUGCAGGGCUGGCUGAGUUCCCUGGAAGGUGGCAGGUUCCAUCUGGGCAGUGAGGUAUGGAAGUAUUCUGAGCCCAGAGGAGUUUUCCCAGGGAAGACUGCCACAAUUCCUAUUUGUAAAUGGUAAAAUGUCAGAUUAUUAUUAUUAUUAUUACUACUAUUAUUUUUAUUUCUUCAAAUCAGAAGAUAGUUAUCCCAAAGACUGUCUACAAUGAUGGGUGCUGGCAGCAAUGCUGUGUUCCAGGUAAUGCCUGACCCCAGCUCUGCUCAGCUGCACUACAACCUGAUGAGCCCAGGGGGAUUUGGAAACAGCAGAACACAGGAUUUAAUCUUGUUCUCCAGAGAGGCUGAGGGAGGGUCUAGUGCUGGCAUGAAAGGAUACUGAGGUCACUCAAAAACAAAGCUCAUGGUGGCUUUGUGAGGGGAUCAGGUGGCAAAGGCCACAGAUUGGGCACGCUCCUUAGUCCUGUGUGGGGGUUGCAAGCACAAUGAAUUACUGACUCUGGAAGAGUUUUCUAAAUCACCUUGUCCAAAACACAGCAAUCUCACUCUGUAAAUAAUAAACAGAUGUGGCCUGGAUUAAGACUGGGCUGGCAGAUGAAUUUCUGUUAUAAAAUCAUACAUGCUUUUUUUUUUUUUUUUUGGUCCAGUAUUGGAAACCACAAAAUUGAGAAGCCAAGAGAGACAUCAGUGAUGGACACCAACAAGGUGGGGAAUUUGUUUGUGCCUUGCUUUAUUGGUCCCUAACCUCCAGCCAGCCCAUUUUACUUGUACAGCAAUGAGCCACUCCUUUUGAGACCAACUGAGCAAAAAGUGGUUGAUCAGUGAAUAAGGUGUUUUUGUUCCCUGGUCAUAAAGUACCAAUUAAUUCCACAUUAACAGGCAUUCCUUCACUCUGAGGCUGAAGUGCUGCUCUGGAGAUAGAGUGAUACAGCACAGGAUGAUGUUGAUUUGCCAAAGGUUGCCUGGCGCAGGAUGAACAUAUCAGGUAUAGGCAAGACUGAUGGCUAGAGAAGGAGCAGGCAGGACUAGGGAAAAGGGAAGGCACUGGAAAGGAAUAUUUCACAUGUGCUGGCCCUCAGUAAGCAGAAAGAAUUUGAAUAUGUGAGAUCUCAGGAGUGUCCACCAGUACCAUCCAUGGGCAAGGAGGCAGACUGAGGGAGGAGAAAGGAUGGAGGGUGGAGAUGUGGGUUGAAGCAAGCAGGAAACGAUAGAGGAAUGCUGUGGAGAAGGAAGACCUGCUUCACUGGGAAGAACACAGUAUACUGGUCUGUGCAGGGGACUUGGAGGAGCCCAGGAAUGGGGUGGGUGUAGCUUUGUGAUGGAGCCAU
ensembl:lncRNA